AGACAUUCAUUUAUGUUAAAGUUCGACCUGGCUGGCUAUGGAUAAAUUAGCUAAUAUGAUGCCUGGAUCGCAAAUCUGGCAAAGCAAACCCAGGCAUUCCCUGCAUUGUCCAAAAAAGAAAAGAAAUGUGAAGCAGCAAGGGCCACUCAGCUUCUGACCUCAAUACAGGCUUGGAUCUGAACAAAACAUGAAUACGAGAGCUGGAUUCCAAUGGUGAGAUGACAGCCUUUCACAUUAAGGAACAGAUGGCUGAGUAUGGUAUUAAUUGAAGGUGAAGCAAGAAUUGAAAACAUUGGAAAGAUUCAGCAAGUCCGGCAGCAACUCUAGGAAGAAAUAAAGUUCACAUUCCAGAUCGAUGAUCUUGUGUCGGUUCUGAUAAUGAAGAUACCUCGACGCUCCCCUUUCAAGAGCUCAUGCCCAC